rnacentral:tRNA from 1 species
GGAGAGAUGCGAGAGCGGUCGAAUCGGACGGUCCCGAAAACCGUUGUACACUUGCUGUACCGAGGGUUCGAAUCCCUCUCUCUCCG